rnacentral:rRNA from 1 species
GUUCAUGGCUCAGGACGAACGCUGGCGGCGCGCCUAACACAUGCAAGUCGAACGAGCGAGAGAGAGCUUGCUUUCUCGAGCGAGUGGCGAACGGGUGAGUAACGCGUGAGGAACCUGCCUCAAAGAGGGGGACAACAGUUGGAAACGACUGCUAAUACCGCAUAAGCCCACGGCUCGGCAUCGAGCGGAGGGAAAAGGAGCAAUCCGCUUUGAGAUGGCCUCGCGUCCGAUUAG